rnacentral:rRNA from 1 species
CGGCAAAUUAGAUCCGUAACUUCGGGAAAAGGAUUGGCUCUGAGGAUUGGAUUCAAGGGCCCAUUCAUGAAAGCUUAGCUGUCUUGGAACUGCGGAGGCAACGAAGUGGCUCCAGGAUAGCGAACGCUGGAAUGGGUGGGACGUCUUCAUCGGCUCCUUGAAUAAUUAACAAUUAACUCAGAACUGAAGCGGACAAGGGGAAUCCGACUGUUUAAUAAAAACAUAGCAUUGUGAUGGCCUGAAAAGGUGUUGACACAAUGUGAAUUCUGCCCAGUGCUUUGAAUGUCAAAGUGAAGAAAUUCAACCAAGCGCAGGUAAACGGCGGGAGUAACUAUGACUCUCUUAAGGUAGCCAAAAUGCCUCGUCAUCUAAUUAGUGACGCGCAUGAAUGGAUCAAUGAGAUUCCCACUGUCCCUAUCUGCUACCUAGCGAACACACAGCCAAGGGAACAGGCUUGGAAUAAUCAGCGGG